rnacentral:rRNA from 1 species
UUAAAAAGCUCGUAGUUGGAUUUCGGAGUGGGCCAGUUGGUCCGCCGCAAGGUGUGUUACUGACUGGUUUGCUCUUCUUCGCAAAGACUGCGUGUGCUCUUGAGUGAGUGUGCGUAGGAUUUACGACGUUUACUUUGAAAAAAUUAGAGUGUUCAAAGCAGGCUAUUGCUUGAAUACAUGAGCAUGGAAUAAUGGAAUAGGACUUUGGUCCCAUUUUGUUGGUUUCUAGGGCCGAAGUAAUGAUUAAGAGGGACAAUUGGGGGCAUCCGUAUUUCGUUGUCAGAGGUGAAAUUCUUGGAUUUACGAAAGACGAACAACUGCGAAAGCACUUGCCAAGAGUGUUUUCAUUAAUCAAGAACGAAAGUUAGAGGAUCGAAGACGAUCAGAUACCGUCCUAGUUCUAACCAUAAACGAUGUCGACUAGGGAUCAGCGGGCGUUAUCGUACGACCCCGUUGGCACCUUACGGGAAACCAAAGUUUUUGGAUUCCGGGGGAAGUAUGGUUGCAAAGCUGA